AUGCAACCAUUUUAAGUGACAAAUCAGCAGCAGACUACCAUACAUUAGAUCUACCUAAAGAAUCGCCAAAUUUUGUUAUCAUUAAUUUGAAGCAUCUCAACUGACAGAAAAAAGAAUAAAUGGCAAUGAAGUCGUAUUGGUUACCAUGAAGUCACUGAAAUGGACCUAGCUUUCAUCAUAUUCAUGGAUUCUACAGACUAAACACAUGGCAACUAAAAGAAAGUAAGAACCCUUUGCUAAAUCAUCUUGUCAUUAAUUUGAAACAUCACGGAUAGAAAAAGAGUAAAUGACAACAAAGGUAAAUCCCUAAAAUAAGAAUCCAUUGUUAACUAUAGUGCAAUAGUUGAAGAAAUUCGUACUGCUUAACAUUUAAGCCACUUAAAUGGACCUAGCCUUAAUCAUAAUCAUCGAUUCUAUUAACUAAAC